GGCCGGGUGGCUUAGCUGGACAUAGCGCCGCACUCAUAGGGUUUCGAGUUUCGGUGCGGCUUGCCCUUUGGAAGCCUCCGCCCACCCGAGAGGCACGCCGAGCCUUGAACCUGGGCUAUGCGGAGAUCGCGGGUUCGGAGCCCGCCCCGGCCA
rnacentral:tRNA from 2 species